rnacentral:rRNA from 1 species
UACGUAGGGUGCGAGCGUCAAUCGGAAUUACUGGGCGUAAAGCGUGCGCAGGCGGUUUGCUAAGACAGGUGUGAAAUCCCCGGGCUUAACCUGGGAACUGCGCUUGUGACUGGCAGGCUAGAGUACGGUAGAGGGGGGUGGAAUUCCUGGUGUAACAGUGAAAUGCGUAGAUAUCAGGAGGAACACCAGCGGCGAAGGCGGCGCUCUGGGCCGGUACUGACACUGAGGAGCGAAAGCGUGGGUAGCAAACAGGAUUAGAUACCCUGGUA